UACGUAGGGGGCUAGCGUUGUCCGGAAUCAUUGGGCGUAAAGCGCGCGUAGGCGGCCCAGUAAGUCCGUUGUAAAAGUCAAAGGCUCAACCUUUGAAAGCCGAUGGAUACUGCUGGGCUAGAGUCCGGAAGAGGCGAGUGGAAUCCCUGGUGUAGCGGUGGAAUGCGCAGAUAUCAGGAGGAACACCGGUGGCGAAGGCGGAUCUCUGGGCCUUACCUGACGCUCAGGUGCGAAAGCUAGGGGAGCGAACAGG
rnacentral:rRNA from 1 species